UAAAAAAAGGUAAGCUACUAAGAGCGAAUGGUGGAUGCCUUGACUGGUAAAGGCGAUGAAGGACGUACUAGACUGCGAUAAGCUACGGGGAGCUGUCAAGAAGCUUUGAUCCGUAGAUUUCCGAAUGGGGCAACCCAAUGUAUAGAGAUAUACAUUACCUAUAUAGGAGCGAACGAGGGGAAUUGAAACAUCUUAGUACCCUCAGGAAAAGAAAUCAAUAGAGAUUGCGUCAGUAGCGGCGAGCGAAAGCGCAAGAGGGCAAACCCAGUGCUUGCACUGGGGGUUGUAGGACUGCAAUGUGCAAGAGCUGAGUUUAGCAGAACAUUCUGGAAAGUAUAGCCAUAGAGGGUGAUAGUCCCGUAUGCGAAAAACAAAGCUUAGCUAGCAGUAUCCUGAGUAGGGCGGGACACGAGGAAUCCUGUCUGAAUCCGGGUCGACCACGAUCCAACCCUAAAUACUAAUACCAGAUCGAUAGUGCACAAGUACCGUGAGGGAAAGGUGAAAAGAACUGAGGUGAUCAGAGUGAAAUAGAACCUGAAACCAUUUGCUUACAAUCAUUCAGAGCACUAUGUAGCAAUACAGUGUGAUGGACUGCCUUUUGCAUAAUGAGCCUGCGAGUUGUGGUGUCUGGCAAGGUUAAGCAAACGCGAAGCCGUAGCGAAAGCGAGUCUGAAUAGGGCGCUUAGUCAGAUGCUGCAGACCCGAAACGAAGUGAUCUAUCCAUGAGCAAGUUGAAGCUAGUGUAAGAACUAGUGGAGGACUGAACCCAUAGGCGUUGAAAAGCCCCGGGAUGACUUGUGGAUAGGGGUGAAAGGCCAAUCAAACUUCGUGAUAGCUGGUUCUCUCCGAAAUAUAUUUAGGUAUAGCGUUGUGUCGUAAUAUAAGGGGGUAGAGCACUGAAUGGGCUAGGGCAUACACCAAUGUACCAAACCCUAUCAAACUCCGAAUACCUUAUAUGUAAUCACAGCAGUCAGGCGGCGAGUGAUAAAAUCCGUCGUCAAGAGGGAAACAACCCAGACUACCAGCUAAGGUCCCUAAAUCUUACUUAAGUGGAAAACGAUGUGAAGUUACUUAAACAACCAGGAGGUUGGCUUAGAAGCAGCCAUCCUUUAAAGAAAGCGUAAUAGCUCACUGGUCUAGUGAUUUUGCGCGGAAAAUAUAACGGGGCUAAAGUAAGUACCGAAGCUGUAGACUUGCACACAACUUAGAUUAUUUAAGUUUAGAAUAUGAGAAACUAAGUUAUAUGUUUAGUUAUAUUUUUACUGAUUUUUAUAGAGUAAAGAUAGAAAUAAAACUUAGUAAAAUCAGUAAAAAUAUUCUUAGGCUAAAGUUAAGUAGUUUAAGUUGUGUGCAAGUGGUAGGAGAGCGUUCUAUUUGCGUCGAAGGUAUACCGGUAAGGAGUGCUGGAGCGAAUAGAAGUGAGCAUGCAGGCAUGAGUAGCGAUAAUUAAUGUGAGAAUCAUUAACGCCGUAAACCCAAGGUUUCCUACGCGAUGCUCGUCAUCGUAGGGUUAGUCGGGUCCUAAGUCGAGUCCGAAAGGGGUAGACGAUGGCAAAUUGGUUAAUAUUCCAAUACCAACAUUAGUGUGCGAUGGAAGGACGCUUAGGGCUAAGGGGGCUAGCGGAUGGAAGUGCUAGUCUAAGGUUGUAGGAGGUUAUACAGGCAAAUCCGUAUAACAAUACUCCGAGAACUGAAAGGCUUUUUGAAGUCUUCGGAUGGAUAGAAGAACCCCUGAUGCCGUCGAGCCAAGAAAAGUUUCUAAGUUUAGCUAAUGUUGCCCGUACCGUAAACCGACACAGGUGGGUGGGAUGAGUAUUCUAAGGCGCGUGGAAGAACUCUCUUUAAGGAACUCUGCAAAAUAGCACCGUAUCUUCGGUAUAAGGUGUGGUUAGCUUCGUACUAGGAUUUACUCCGAAAGCGAAGAAACUUACAACAAAGAGUCCCUCCCGACUGUUUACCAAAAACACAGCACUCUGCUAACUCGUAAGAGGAUGUAUAGGGUGUGACGCCUGCCCGGUGCUCGAAGGUUAAUUGAUGGGGUUAGCAUUAGCGAAGCUCUUGAUCGAAGCCCGAGUAAACGGCGGCCGUAACUAUAACGGUCCUAAGGUAGCGAAAUUCCUUGUCGGUUAAAUACCGACCUGCAUGAAUGGCGUAACGAGAUGGGAGCUGUCUCAAAGAGGGAUCCAGUGAAAUUGUAGUGGAGGUGAAAAUUCCUCCUACCCGCGGCAAGACGGAGAGACCCCGUGGACCUUUACUACAGCUUGACACUGCUAUUUGGAUAAGAAUGUGCAGGAUAGGUGGGAGGCUUUGAGUAUAUGACGCCAGUUGUAUAUGAGCCAUUGUUGAGAUACCACUCUUUCUUAUUUGGGUAGCUAACCAGCUUGAGUUAUCCUCAAGUGGGACAAUGUCUGGUGGGUAGUUUGACUGGGGCGGUCGCCUCCCAAAUAAUAACGGAGGCUUACAAAGGUUGGCUCAUAGCGGUUGGAAAUCGCUAGUAGAGUAUAAAGGUAUAAGCCAGCUUAACUGCAAGACAUACAAGUCAAGCAGAGACGAAAGUCGGUCUUAGUGAUCCGGUGGUUCUGUGUGGAAGGGCCAUCGCUCAAAGGAUAAAAGGUACCCCGGGGAUAACAGGCUGAUCUCCCCCAAGAGCUCACAUCGACGGGGAGGUUUGGCACCUCGAUGUCGGCUCAUCGCAUCCUGGGGCUGGAGCAGGUCCCAAGGGUAUGGCUGUUCGCCAUUUAAAGCGGUACGCGAGCUGGGUUCAGAACGUCGUGAGACAGUUCGGUCCCUAUCUGCCGUGGGCGUAAGAAGAUUGAAGAGAUUUGACCCUAGUACGAGAGGACCGGGUUGAACAAACCACUGGUGUAGCUGUUGUUCUGCCAAGAGCAUCGCAGCGUAGCUAAGUUUGGAAAGGAUAAACGCUGAAAGCAUCUAAGCGUGAAGCCAACUCUAAGAUGAAUCUUCUCUAAGCUCUCUAGAAGACUACUAGUUUGAUAGGCUGGGUGUGUAAUGGAUGAAAGUCCUUUAGCUGACCAGUACUAAUAGAGCGUUUGGCUUAUCUUUAAUAAAGCAU
rnacentral:rRNA from 1 species